rnacentral:rRNA from 1 species
UACAGAGGUCCCGAGCGUUGUUCGGAUUCACUGGGCGUAAAGGGCGCGUAGGCGGCUUGGCAAGUGGAUGGUGAAAUCCCUCGGCUUAACCGAGGAACUGCCGUCCAAACUGCUUCGCUUGAGACCGGGAGAGGUGAGUGGAAUUCCCAGUGUAGCGGUGAAAUGCGUAGAUAUUGGGAGGAACACCAGUGGCGAAGGCGGCUCACUGGACCGGUACUGACGCUGAUGCGCGAAAGCGUGGGGAGCAAACGGG